rnacentral:rRNA from 1 species
CUUUUUGAGAGUUUGAUCCUGGCUCAGGACGAACGCUGGCGGCGUGCCUAAUACAUGCAAGUCGAGCGGACCCUUCGGGGUCAGCGGCGGACGGGUGAGUAACACGUGGGUAAUCUGCCCAACUGACCGGAAUAACGCCUGGAAACGGGUGCUAAUGCCGGAUAGGCAGCGAGCAGGCAUCUGCUCGCUGGGAAAGGUGCAAAUGCACCGCAGAUGGAGGAGCCCGCGGCGCAUUAGCUGGUUGGUGGGGUAACGGCUCACCAAGGCGACGAUGCGUAGCCGACCUGAGAGGGUGGAC